rnacentral:rRNA from 1 species
AUGCACGCGACUACGCUACUGAACAAGAUUACAGGAGAAACUGAGUACAAUACCGCGUCGCGCCCUAUACCACCUAAGUUCCACGACAACGCCCCCAGAAGGGAGAACGGCGUUGCCGAGUCCACAACAGACAGAGAUUUUCACCCGGAAUCGGGACACAAAGAGAAGCACCACGACAACGUCUUCAAGAAGAUAGCGGCGCCCGCGAGCGUCGCCGUCACCAGCACCAAAGCACGGAGCUUUCGCUCAGCAGCUCCACCGCGUCACCAUGAGGUCUUCAAGGCAAACUCCAGGUCCAAAUCGGGGCACCACCACCGCCGGAGACAAAGCGUGCCCGAGCCACCCAGUGCACCACCUCUCGCCGCCCACACGGCCAAGAGGAACGCCAUCACCGCCCAUAGCAGUUUCCUUGUUCUAGCACUAUUUUACUAUAUUGAAUAUUUGAAGCACCUGAUAAUAACCUUGCCAUCUUUGUCUUGA